rnacentral:rRNA from 1 species
UGGGCAACCUGCCCCUCUCUCUGGGAUAACCCCGGGAAACCGGAGCUAAUACCGGAUACUCCGGCUGGAUCGCAUGGUCCGGCCGGGAAAGGUCCGCCGGAGAGGGAUGGGCCCGCGGCCUAUCAGCUUGUUGGUGGGGUCAUGGCUCACCAAGGCAACGAUGCGUAGCCGACCUGAGAGGGUGAUCGGCCACAUUGGAACUGAGACACGGUCCAGACUCCUACGGGAGGCA